GACUCACUACGGCGUUGGUGACUGCCAAUACUGUUUUGCGAUCUAUACUUUGCUUACAACGGGAGCAAAAAUGUUGUGAUGGCAGUAAACCGGGCCUGUAUCCGGAAACUUUAAGUCCCAGCUAGUGCUCCCACCUGGAUUUUCCAGGUCGAAAACUGAGGUAAGACGGCGCUGCGGUGAGUUU
rnacentral:other from 1 species